rnacentral:lncRNA from 1 species
GCUAACUGAGAAUAUAAGAUGAAUAAGGAAAUGCACACCUUCGUAUUUUUAGAAUUUAAAUGAAGUUGGAGAAUAACCUGCAAGUUGUAAGAAGCCCUGGAGAAUGACUAAUGUUAUCAGCUUAAAGAAAUCAAGAUUCAGAGAGGGAGCCUGUUCUUCCUAAGUGCUGUUCAAGUCACCAGCAGCUCAGAAAACCAUCGAACAUCGGAGAAUGGCCACUGCACACAUUAAUGCUUCCACUGCUGCCCUUUGACGGUUUUUGUACCUAUUCAUGCUGUUUCAGGUUCAGUGUUGUCAUCUCACACUGGACUCCUGUUCUCCAACAAGUGACUGUGUAAACGGGGAGGAGAGAAAUCGCAAGGUUUCUAACAAUUAUCUGCAGCUUUCUUACCAAGACCCAGUAGCCUGCAGAAGAGAACGCCUCCAAUUUCCUGCCCUCUCAUUGGCAUGGCCUACACCCUCACUGUGUGACCUCAGGCAAGUAUCUAAAAUUCUCUCAGCCUUGGUAUCUUCCUCCCCGAAACAGAAACAGUAAUA